UGUGAAUUGCUUAUUAGCUUUCAUUCCCUCAGCUUUCAUUAUCUUUGAUUUAUAUGCAGUCCUUAACAUUUUUGUUAAGCCUCAGUCUAAUGUCUAUUAGAUACUGAUUCUGUCGCUGAUUUGUGUUUUUUCAGAAACUCAGCAUUCAUAUAGAUGAGAAUGCCCUCCAUGAGAUCCUCAACGAGGUGGACCUCAACAAAAACGGACAGGUGGAACUGGAUGAGUUCUUACAGCUCAUGUGUGCGGUCCAGAGAGGCCAAAUCUCUGACAGUCGUCUGGCUAUCUUGAUGAAGACGGCCGAGGAGGGCUUGGAUCUGAGAGGACCUGUCUCAGUUGACCGCAGUGGAGGCGGCGUUUGAAUCCCAACUACAAACCAGAACAUUCACCAGACAACAGCUCUCACCACAAAGUUGGAUAAACAGCAAAAAGUGCUGUGCCCACGCUGGUCAGAUCACAAGCACAUCCUCUCCAGCUGGCUGCCUUUGACUACAAUCUUUGUUUUUGUUUUGCUUUAACAUGCUUAUUUACAUUUAUUUCAAUUAAAAAAGAUAUUAGAGCAGAGUAUAUUCUUUAUAAAUAUUUCAAAGCAUACUGUUCUAGAAUCUUUAUUGUUUAUCUAAUGCAUGCAGUGCCAUGUGACCUGGUAAGCACGAAUAUAUUGAUUCUCUGAGCAGCUUUAUCCAGUGAGCUUUCUGUUGUGCCAUUUUUUUAAUGUAGAUUAUUUGCUGCUGAACACAAUGAGGUGAUAUUUAAGGGCUCCUGGUGUCUUCUGAGAUAAAUAAUGCACUAUAUAUGAAUUUCACAGAUUUACACUGCACUGCAUACUGCUUCAUUGUAACUGUUCUAAACUACAUUAAUGUGUUUUUGUGUUGUUGUUGUAUCUUAAUAAUUUCAAAUGUAUACAAAAUCUAUAAUUUCCCUCAUACUCUCUUGUUUUUAAUUAAUGUGAUGUGAUUAAGUAUACAGUUGUAUUACUGUAUACAGAUCAGUUAUAUUAUAAUGAAAUGUAAGGGCUCUUGUUUGAAUGUUGAACAUUUUAUACCUUAUUCAAAUUCAUGAACAAUUGGAACUCCACUUUAAUAUGUUUCCUAUACAGUCUUGCCUGUAAAAGUAAUUGAUUAUUAAUUUGUCAUGAAAUAAUAAGGGAAUAUUAUAACUGUACAUUUUUAUGUAGAGCACAGCAGGGAAUGUACUUAAUGUGCCUUGCUUCUUAAAGGGAUAGUUCACCCCAAAAUUACAAUUCUGUCAUUUACUAACCCUCAUGUAGUUCCAAACUUUCUAUGACUUACAGAUCGUAAAAGAAGAUAUUUUAAAGAAUGGUGGCAAUCAAACUAGUUUUAGUUACCAUUGACUUCCAUCAUAUGGAAAACUGAAAAGAAGCACUGAAACAUGUCUUUAAAUGUCUUCUUUUAUGUUCUACAGUUUAAAUUUUUGGGGGAACUUUAACUUUAAAAAGACACUUAAUUAACUUUGCAUGUCGAAACGCACAGUUAGACACACUAAAAGAGUGUAAUCUUUUACUUGACUACUUAUUUUUGUGGUUUAACUUUAAGGAUACUUAAACCUUGAUGGUUUAAGAGAAAUGUGUUUUGUACAAUGAGAUUGCUCAGAAUUCAUAAUCUGUUUUGGUUUGUUAUUAUCAUGCAAUGACCUUGUUAGGGAUAUCAUGAUAUAUUUGGGUUUUUUUACGCUAAAAAAGACCAUAGAGAUUGUCAUAAAUCUUGGAGGAUCAGUGUUGAUUGACAGGUUUGAAAAAGAUGGAGAAUUAGAAGCAGUUUAACUAAUUUAAUGUUUUUCCUGACGGGAUGUAAUUCAGCUCGAUACUAAUUGAAAAAAAAGAAUCUAAUUUUAUGAUAAAAAUGUAUAAUAAAUCAAAGCCUGAGAAACACAAUUCUGUAAUUAAAUAUGUCUGGUUGCAAUCUG